AUUGAACGCUGGCGGCAGGCCUAACACAUGCAAGUCGAGCGGGGUUUUCGGACCUAGCGGCGGACGGGUGAGUAAUGCGUAGGAAGCUGCCCGAUAGAGGGGGAUACCAGUUGGAAACGACUGUUAAUACCGCAUAAUGUCUACGGACCAAAGUGUGGGACCUUCGGGCCACAUGCUAUCGGAUGCGCCUACGCGGGAUUAGCUAGUUGGUGAGGUGAUGGCUCACCAAGGCGACGAUCUCUAGCUGGUUUGAGAGGAUGAUCAGCCACACUGGAACUGAGACACGGUCCAGACUCCUACGGGAGGCAGCAGUGGGGAAUAUUGGACAAUGGGCGCAAGCCUGAUCCAGCCAUGCCGCGUGUGUGAAGAAGGCCUUCGGGUUGUAAAGCACUUUCAGCGAGGAGGAAGGGGUGUGUGUUAAUAGUACACACCUUUGACGUUACUCGCAGAAGAAGCACCGGCUAACUCUGUGCCAGCCGCCGCCGUAACAC
rnacentral:rRNA from 1 species